GAGUUUGAUCAUGGCUCAGAACGUACGCUGGCGGCACGCCUUAUACAUGCAAGUCGAACGAAGCAGCAAUACUUAGUGGCAGACGGGUGAGUAACAUGUGGGUAUCUUCCCUUUGGCCUGGAAUAACACGAGGAAACUUGUGCUAAUACCGGAUAAGUCUUUACGGAGAAAGCUGUAUGCACCAUUGGAUGAGCCUGCACUAGAUUAGUUUGUUGGUGGGGUAAUGGCCUACCAAGACUUUGAUCUAUAGCUGAUUUGAGAGGAUGAUCAGC
rnacentral:rRNA from 1 species